AUGGCCGCGGUAUUUUGACCGUGCAAAGGUAGCAUAAUCAUUAGCCUAUUAAUUGUAGGCUUGUAUGAAUGGUUGGACGAAAUAUUUACUGUCUCGUGUUUAUUUUUUAUAAUUUAAAUUUUGAGUUAAAAUGCUUGAAUUUUUUUAUAGGACGAGAAGACCCUAUAGAUCUUUAUUUUUAGUUUGUCUAUUUAUUUUGGUUUAUUGUUAGUUGAUAUAUAUAAUUAUUUUGUUGGGGUGACAAGGGGAUAUUUAAAACUCUUUAUUUUUAUUUUCAUUGAUUUGUGUAUUUUUGACCUUUUAUUAUUGUUUUAAGAUAUAGAUACCUUAGGGAUAACAGCGUAAUUCUUCUUUAGAGUUCAUAUCGACAGGGGAGAUUGCGACCUCGAUGUUGGAUUAAGAUUAUAAUUAGGCGCAGAAGCUUAAUCGUUAGGUCUGUUCGACCUUUAAAUUCUUACAUGAUCUGAGUU
rnacentral:rRNA from 1 species